AGUGAACGCUGGCGGCAGGCCUAACACAUGCAAGUCGAACGGCAGCACGGCAGUAGCAAUACUGUGGGUGGCGAGUGGCGGACGGGUGAGGAAUACAUCGGGAUCUACCCUGUUGUGGGGGAUAACGUAGGGAAACUUACGCUAAUACCGCAUAAGAACUGAGGUUGAAAGCGGCGGACCGCAAGGCGUCGCGCGAUUGGAUGAACCGAUGUCCGAUUAGCUAGUUGGCGGGUAAAGGCCACCAAGGCGACGAUCGGUAGCUGGUCUGAGAGGACGACCAGCCACACUGGAACUGAGACACGGUCCAGACUCCUACGGGAGGCAGCAGUGGGGAAUAUUGGACAAUGGGCGCAAGCCUGAUCCAGCCAUGCCGCGUGGGUGAAGAA
rnacentral:rRNA from 1 species